CCAUGGUUGUCAGGAUCGGGAUCCCACUAAAGAUCGUUGGGGUAUAAAAAGAUCGUAGAUCGUAGGAUCGUAACAAGGAUCGUAAGAUCCCACAAAUUUUCUCAUACAUAAAAACAUCAUUAAUAUUAAACAUAAUCAAAACAUAAAAACUUCAUUAGUCAUUAACAUAAUCAAAAUAGCUUAGACUUUUAAACUUAAAUAAACAUAGACAUAGAAAAAUAACUUAGACUCUUAAACUUAAAAACUAAACAUAGACUCUUAAACUUAAUAGCUUAGACUCUUAAACUUAAACUUAAAAACCCCUAAUUCAUCAAGUCCUUCGAGACAAGUGCAGUUCUGAGAGGUUGAAGAGAUGAGAAUAGGAUGAAGAGAAUUUAUAGAAGAUAUUGAACUAGGGAUACAAGUGAAUGAUUAGUAAAUACUAUUAAUAAAAUUAGAGAUACGGUUGAUGAAUUAGGGAUAGGGAUGCGAUUUGUAUCAAGUAGCCACCAAUUCCCCAAGUUAACAAAAGUUCCUCAAUUUUCGAUCCAAAACGAGCAGGUUUCUAGUUGAAACGGUUCAGUUUCGGGUUGGGGCAGUGCAAUAUGAACCGGGUCAAAACAGAGCAACUGGAUCGGGUCGGUGCGAAACAGGUUUAAACUUUAUUAACCCGGUAUGAAACGACGCGUGGAAGAUCGCUGAUCCUGCGAUUUCACGCUCUUCCUCUGCGCUUUCACUGUUUCAGUGUAUCUUAGGAGUUUCGAACCGCUCCGGCACGGUGGAUGACGGCCAACUCGUAAGAUCGUAAGAUCUGAGGAGUUAACUCCCGAUCUUGACAACCAUAUAUUCUAUAGUUACUCCCAUUCAUAAACAAUUUUCUUGCAGAGGGGUUACUGAAGGGAAUUGUAACUUUGUAAGUAGCUAGUUGAAAGAAUAUCAUAUUAGCUGCAUUUCUGGUAGCGAAAUGGAGUAUAUCAGCGCAGCAAAACAAAAUUCAGGACAUCGUGAUUCCAGGCAGUUUUGAUAUUGUCAAUUAGUGCAAAUCC
rnacentral:lncRNA from 1 species